GUAAUAUUAAAUAUCGAGGUUCCAAAAUGAUUAACAACUUUAAAAAAUUUUAUUUUUUCUUUAUGAAUGAUCCACAUUAGUUUUUUGGCUAAUAAAAUGUGGGUCCUCUUUGAUGUUCGUUAAUCAUCUAGGGGAUAAAGAAGACGUCCCUUGGGACGUCUUUUU
rnacentral:ncRNA from 1 species